rnacentral:rRNA from 1 species
ACUCAAAUGAAUUGACGGGGGCCCGCACAAGCGGCGGAGCAUGUUGCUUAAUUCGAUGCAACGCGAAGAACCUUACCUAGGCUUGACAUGCACGGAAAUCCUCCAGAGAUGGUGGGUCCGUAAGGGUCGUGCACAGGUGGUGCAUGGUUGUCGUCAGCUCGUGUCGUGAGAUGUUGGGUUAAGUCCCGCAACGAGCGCAACCCUCGUUCUAUGUUGCCAGCGGGUAAUGCCGGGGACUCAUAGGAGACUGCCGGGGUCAACUCGGAGGAAGGUGGGGAUGACGUCAAAUCAUCAUGCCCCUUAUGUCUAGGGCUGCAAACAUGCUACAAUGGCCGGUACAAAGGGCUGCGAUACCGUAAGGUGGAGCGAAUCCCAAAAAGCCGGUCUCAGUUCGGAUUGGGGUCUGCAACUCGACCCCAUGAAGUUGGAGUCGCUAGUAAUCGCAGAUCAGCAUUGCUGCGGUGAAUACGUUCCCGGGCCUUGUACACACCGCCCGU